rnacentral:rRNA from 1 species
UACGGAGGGUGCGAACGUUAAUCGGAAUCACUGGGCGUAAAGCGCGCGUAGGCGGCUUUGCAAGCCGGAUGUGAAAUCCCCGGGCUUAACCUGGGAACUGCAUUCGGGACUGCAUUGCUAGAGUAUGGGAGAGGGAAGUGGAAUUUCAGGUGUAGCGGUGAAAUGCGUAGAUAUCUGAAGGAACAUCAGUGGCGAAAGCGACUUCCUGGACCAAUACUGACGCUCAUGUGCGAAAGCGUGGGGAGCAAACAGG